UGUAUUUUUCACUUUCCCCUCAUUUGCUACAGUGCUGUGCACACAGAAUGGAGUGGCAGCUAUGAAUUCAGCAAUCACCAAAGCUUGGCAUUGAUCAAGUGAACAGGGGUCUGGUGUGCUCUUCAGGCUGGCUGUGGAGAGAAGAAGCUGAGGUAUACCCCACAAAUACUGAUUUCUUGAGAUCCAUCCAUUUCCCUCUGUAUUCAAUACCCUUCACAAGUUCAGUCUCCUGUUCUGCUUUGAGGUGUUGCUAUUACUUGGUCCAUCACAGCAAAUGACCUCUAAGCUUCUUUUUAUGCCAUGUUCUCCUUGGUGCCAGAGAAAAAUGACUAUUCCCUUCUCAACUUCUCCCAGCAAGAAGUGCUAGAAGGCUGGUGGAACAGCACUGAAGUUUCCAGCAGCUCUGGCAGCACAGGUGAGCAGCACUAUGAACAUCCCUUUAUCUUCGGGCUUUGUGCUGCUGACCCAUAACCCUGGUAUCUAAGAAUCUCCCAUGUAAAAUCAAUAGCAAUAAAAAAAAUUCCUUGGAGAA